AGAAGGUUUUCCACAGUGGAAUGACCUAUGGUACACGGUGGACCACAACGCAUCUCGUGAGGAGACCACACAUCCAUCCACAAAGGCAGCCUGAACACAUCAGGAGGAUAUCAAGGACACGGAGGCUAAAGAUCUCAAGGUUUCCCAUGAUAUUUGUUGGCAUGAAAUGCCAACUUCCUUCAUGGGUCCUCGAGGAUCUCGAAAAUUCAGACCUCUCUUCAGGGGAAGAGGAUGAACCAGAUGAGAUCGUACCUGCUCCUGCUGACCCUCCAGCAGGAAUCCUUCCCUUACCUCUUCCUGUACCUGCUCCACAGCCUUAUAUAGCCUAUAUAUAUAGUCUCUGAUUGUUUUAUUUACAGCAAAGUACUGCAGAUACUGCUGAGGACAUGGAGAUCUGUAGCGUGUCUUAACAUUCAUCUCAUAUUGGUCUGCCGGCUCCAGUUGGGCCGCCUCAGCCACAGACGUCUUUGUCCUCUAAGCAAAUAAUGCAGACACUGUGGAGGACAUGGAGGUGGAAUAUAGUUCUUCACCUUAACCUUCAUCUCCUGAUGGUCUGUCGUCCGUAGUUGCAUCUCUUCAGCCACAGACGCCUCCGUCCUCUCAGAUUUUCUGCAAACUGGAAGACAUCACAAAAAUGUAUCCAACUUUAAAAUGUUCAUUCAACAAAGAAAAUUAAGUAACUUGAACAAAGAUUUAUUUGUUGAAGGGCGUCAAUUCAUUAUUUUGUGUUCACUGAAUGUAAAAAGCAUAAUCAUUCAGCUAACAAAUAUGAUUAGAUAUAUACGUUUUUGUCCAAU